GUCUCUUUGAUUAUACUAUAUAAAGAGUUUGACCUGCCCAGUGAUAUAAUUUUAACGGCCGCAGUACUCUGACUGUGCAAAGGUAGCAUAAUAAUUUGCCUUAUAAUUGAUGGCUAGUAUGAAUGGUUUGACGAAAGCAUUUCUGUCUCAAAUAUAUUUUUCAUAAUUUAUCUUUUAGGUUAAAAGACCUAAAUGAAACAAAAGGACGAGAAGACCCUAUCGAGCUUUAAAAAAGUUUAAUGAGAAAAAAUAUUAUUAAGAUUUUUUUUACUAAAAAUGUUUUUGGUUGGGGCGACCUAGGAACAAAUAAAGCUUCCUUAAAUAAAUGAAUAAUAAUACAAAGAUCCAACGGAAAUGUUGAUAAAUGGAAUUAGUUACCGUAGGGAUAACAGCGUUAUUUUCUCUAAGAGACCUUAUUAAGGAGAAAGUUUGCGACCUCGAUGUUGGAUUGAGAUAGCUUAAAGGUGCAGAAGCUUUUGUAAGUUAGUCUGUUCGACUAUAAAAAUCUCACAU
rnacentral:rRNA from 1 species